GGAGUAAUAGUUAAUUAUAACAUUUGAAUUGCACUCAAAAAGUAUUGAUAUCUCAAUUUACUUUA
rnacentral:tRNA from 1 species